rnacentral:rRNA from 1 species
UACAGGGGGGGCGAGCGUUGUUCGGAAUUACUGGGCGUAAAGGGUUUGUAGGUGGCUUGCUCAGUCAGACGUGAAAUCCCUCAGCUUAACUGGGGAACUGCGUCUGAUACUAGCGAGCUUGAGUGCAGGAGAGGAACGCGGAAUUCCAGGUGUAGCGGUGAAAUGCGUAGAUAUCUGGAGGAACACCGGUGGCGAAGGCGGCUCACUGGCUCAUUUCUGACGCUCAGGCGCGACAGCGUGGGGAUCAAACAGG